CAUAUAUGUAUACCAUGUGAUGAGAACACAAUCUGAAUAAAUGAGAAUUUUGGGAAGAAAAUCUUCUUACAUCAUGAUAUCUGAUCAAGUACUGAAUAAAUUCUCAAGCAAUGAAGAAGAUGCUCCAGAAGCUUACGUUAAGAACGUGACUCAUCGCAAGGGGUGUGGGAAACUAUGAGUAAUUUUUCAUACAACUUUUACGGUGGCUAGAAAAAGAGGUUACAUCCAUAACCUCUAAAAUUUUUCUUGUUUGUUAUGGUCGUACAGUUUCAUAGCCUCAACAAUCUGCGCAGAAUGACCAAGUUGAUAAGGCUAUACCUCUGAUCACCAAGAAAAGUGUUGAAUAACUUAUUGAUCCAUUGCUUGCUGUUGUGUACGAUGCAGAGCAGAUAAAUCGCAUGCUUGCAGUUCCUUCUAUGUAGCUUAGAUUAGAUAUUUAGAUUAGAUGGAUGUGUAGUAGUUGAUCGAUAUUGGAUUUGAUGGAUGUGUAAUAGGUUAAAUUGGAA